UAGUAUGAUUUUAGCCGUAGAAAAGCUGAAGUGGUGGCUAUUCUGGAAGGGGAUGGUGCUUAUGAGUAAAUUUUAGCUCAUACUUGCAUAUCCUAAUAGAAAGGAGAAGCCCUCGUGUCUGUAUCCGAUGCGUUGCAGCUAAAGUUAGAGUUCGACACAUUUGUCGUAACACUAA
rnacentral:sRNA from 1 species